AGGUGUGAAGAUAUAACUGAUAUGAAAAUUCUUCUUCUUCCUGUGGCCAACUCGUUUGCUAAAACACUUAAGAAAUCUGAUAAAACACCUGUUGUUCAGGACCUCUGCCUCAUUCAGUGCACCAGAUGGACCUGCUCACAGGAUGAAUCAGGGAUGUGUGGUUUUCACGGUCUCUGGAAUUUUGCAGUACUUUUGCCAUAGUCCACUCCCAGUCACCAUGGUAUUUAGAUUCUAAAUUAAAACCCUCUUCUGAGCCUUGUAAUGAUGCUGACUUCCUGUUUGAAUGCUGACACCAAUGAUAGGACAGGCUUUUUCUCCAGCAUUUUACAUCAUCACCUUUGAGGCAAUAUUGGACACAGUCAAAGGAAGCAGUAGGACAUGUACAGAGCUUUCAAUUCAAGGUCAUUCUGAACCCUCUAACCCGUAAAAAAUAAAAAUAGGUAAAUAAAAUUGGGAAUUAUCCUGAGUGAUUUUAACUAUGAAUUGUUCGCAGCUGUCAGAGUCAGAGCCACAUAGUUCACUGUGGUUCAAUUUCCUUUUCAAUUGAACAAACAUAUUAUAGCAGAUUUCCUAUUUUGUUUUAAAUAACCUCGUAGGG